AUGACCACGCGUGUAUGGGACUACCUGGCGGAGUACCGAGCCGAGCGGGCGGACAUCCUCGACGCCGUCGAAACGGUCUUCGAGUCGGGCCAGUUGGUGCUCGGCGCGAGUGUGCGCGGCUUCGAGGAGGAGUUCGCCGCAUACCACGGAGUGGACCACUGCGUGGGUGUCGACAACGGAACGAACGCCAUCAAGCUCGCUCUCCAGGCCCUCGGGGUCGGCCCCGGCGACGAGGUGAUCACGGUGUCCAACACCGCCGCCCCCACCGUCGUCGCCAUCGACUCCACCGGCGCCACCCCCGUCUUCGUCGACGUCCGCGAGGACGACUUCCUCAUGGACACGAGCCAGGUCGAGGCGGCCGUCACCGAACGCACCCGCUGCCUGCUCCCGGUCCACCUGUACGGCCAGUGCGUCGACAUGGCGCCGCUGAAGGAGAUCGCCGCCCGGCACGUGGUCGUCCUGGAGGACUGCGCCCAGGCCCAUGGCCGACAGGGCGACACCAUGGCCGGCACCACCGGUGACGCCGCCGCCUUCUCCUUCUACCCGACCAAGGUCCUCGGCGCGUACGGCGACGGCGGCGCCACGAUCACCGGCGACGCGUCCGUGGCCGCCCGCCUGCGACGCCUGCGCUACUACGGCAUGGACGAGCGCUACUACACCCUGGAGACCCCCGCCCACAACAGCCGCCUGGACGAACUCCACGCAGAGAUCCUCCGCCGCAAACUUCGGCGCCUCGACACCUACGUCAAGGGCCGCCGCGCCGUCGCCGAACGCUACGCCGACGGGCUCGCCGACACCGACCUCGUCCUGCCGCACACGGUCCCCGGCAACGAGCACGUCUACUACGUGUACGUCGUCCGCCACCCCCGGCGUGACGACAUCAUCGAGCGCCUCAAGGCCCACGACGUCCACCUCAACAUCAGCUAUCCGUGGCCGGUGCACACCAUGACGGGCUUCGCCCACCUCGGCUACGCAAGGGCUCGCUCCCGGUCACCGAGGCACUGGCGCGAGAUCU
rnacentral:misc_RNA from 1 species